AACCAAUAGAAGAGUUAAUUUUUUUUAAAUUUAAGAUAAAGUAGAUUUAUUGACCAAAAAAAAAUCUCUUCCCAACAUGUUUCAGUAUCCCAUUAGUUCUUUGGCAUUAUGUCUCAGAAAAUUGAUUCUAAUCAUUUUUAAAAUUCUAAUUCUUUUUUGAGCAUGUGAAUUAUUGAAGAAAUGGACCAAGUAGAUUCUCAGUCACCUACAGUGGAACUGAAAAGAUGAAGUGACCUUAGGACCACAGGCUCCUAAGAGAGGGUGCCAACAAGGAGUUGGAAGGCAUUCAUGCUACUCAAGCAUGACGGAAAGCAAUGGCAAACUUCUACCUCAGAAUUUUUUUCUUGGGUCAGCAAGACAUGGUCAGCAAGCAGAAAAGUUAGAAUUAUGCAAGAUUUUCAGUUUCUGUCUGGAGGGUUUUGAUGGUAGUCACAACAACUCACAGAAGAAGUACUGAUCUUGAGUCUUUCCGUAAUUAAUGUCUCAUUUCCUCCUCUGAGGUGGAUCCUGUUUUAAUAAAUAAUUACAUAUUAUUUAAUUUAAUCCACACUGCACAGAUGCAUCACAGUGAUUUUGCACAAGUUGAUUUAAUUAUUUCUCAUGGUUGCAGUUAUAAAGGGCAAUGGGCAGACUGAAAAAUAUUCCUGGAGUUAAGCUUGUGAUAUUGAUAGAGGAAGAAUGGACAGAAAGCAUGGAAACUACACAGUGAAUGUUGAAUGCUCUGGAAAUCAGCUAAUAAAAGAAAAGUCUCUGUGCUCUCUGUGGAAGGUUUUCCUGGCUUGUCUUUUGGCAAGUAUGAUAACAACAGCAAUUGGAGUCCUUAUACUAUCCCUGGUAAACAAUAAAGGAAAUAAUUCCACCAUUGUUAUCCAGCCACCCACAAACAACGGAGGGCCUGCAACAGCCUCUACUAAUUCUCAGUCUACACUGACCACCACUUCAACUCAACCUGCAACAGCAACCACUUCAACAGGAUCUACAAGCACUGCAGUCUCCACUGGAACUACAACAGCAAUGGCCUCAACCAUCACUUUAGCUCCACCUGCAACCACAUCAGCUACAACAUCAGGUGAAAGCACAGUCACCACAGCUGCCACAGGAUCUACAACUACUGCAACAUCCAGUGGAACUACAGCUUCAACAACAUAACCUCUUACCACAACAGCCACAACUUUGAGUGAAGCCACAGCUGCUACCUCUGCCACAGGAUCCACAGCUGUUGCAGUUGGCUCUCAGUGUACAAUUAAAUCACUACAGCCAUCAUUCCAAUUGACUCUGCAAUCUCUAUCCCUCAAUUUAGUUUACAGCCAUAACAGCUAUUUUAUCACUUGAAGUUGAACCACAGCUACCACCUCUUUAACAGACUCUAACACUGUUGUAACUUCAGUGAGCCUAGCUGACAGCUGAAACAAUCACCAUUUGCACCAUCUUUUCAAUGGUACCCUCAACUAUGUUCACUUCAACUAAAUCUAUAACAAAUACUACUUCCAUCUGCCCUACAAAUACUGUGACUUCUCUUUUUUUGGUACUGGGGAUCGAACUCGGGACCUUGUGCUUGCAAGGCAGGUGGCGGAAUCACUGAGCUAAAUCCCUGGCCCAUGUGACUUCUACCUAACAGUGCUCACCCCUCUCCUUCAAUAACUUACAGUCUUCACCUAUUCAUUUCCACCUGCAAUCACAAAGUCUACCCUUAUCAUUUUUCCUUAACAGAACUAACCCCGAUCAUUGCAGUGAUCUCUUCUAUAUCAAAUUAACCAGUAGUUAAUUCACCACUGCAAAUAAACUGACAACUAUAAUCCACCUUGACUUUCCCCAAAACUAAAAUUAUAGCUACCACUGCUACAGUAACUGAAUGUAUAUUAUUGUCAUUACUUUUAUUUUCUUUUCAUCAUCAUUACUAUAUUGUACCUGC
rnacentral:lncRNA from 1 species